AUUGAACGCUGGCGGCAGGCCUAACACAUGCAAGUCGAGCGGAUGAAGGGAGCUUGCUCCUGGAUUCAGCGGCGGACGGGUGAGUAAUGCCUAGGAAUCUGCCUGGUAGUGGGGGAUAACGUCCGGAAACGGGCGCUAAUACCGCAUACGUCCUGAGGGAGAAAGUGGGGGAUCUUCGGACCUCACGCUAUCAGAUGAGCCUAGGUCGGAUUAGCUAGUUGGUGGGGUAAAGGCCUACCAAGGCGACGAUCCGUAACUGGUCUGAGAGGAUGAUCAGUCACACUGGAACUGAGACACGGUCCAGACUACUACGGGAGGCAGCAGUGGGGAAUAUUGGACAAUGGGCGAAAGCCUGAUACAGCCAUGCCGCGUGUGUGAAGAAGGUCUUCGGAUUGUAAAGCACUUUAAGUUGGGAGGAAGGGAAGUAAGUUAAUACCUUGCUGUUUUGACGUUACCAACAGAAUAAGCACCGGCUAACUUCGUG
rnacentral:rRNA from 1 species